CUACCAUGCAGUCGAACGAUGAGAGGGAGCUUGCUCCCUGGAUUAGUGGCGAACGGGUGAGUAACACGUGAGUAACCUGCCCUUGACUCUGGGAUAAGCACUGGAAACGGUGUCUAAUACCGGAUACGAACUUCAGCCGCAUGGCUAGGAGUUGGAAAGAAUUUCGGUCAAGGAUGGACUCGCGGCCUAUCAGCUAGUUGGUGAGGUAAUGGCCCACCAAGGCGACGACGGGUAGCCGGCCUGAGAGGGUGACCGGCCACACUGGGACUGAGACACGGCCCAGACUCCUACGGGAGGCAGCAGUGGGGAAUAUUGCACAAUGGGCGCAAGCCUGAUGCAGCAACGCCGCGUGAGGGACGACGGCCUUCGGGUUGUAAACCUCUUUUAGUAGGGAAGAAGCGAAAGUGACGGUACCUGCAGAAAAAGCACCGGCUAACUACGUGCCAGCAGCCGCGGUAAUACGUAGGGUGCAAGCGUUAUCCGGAAUUAUUGGGCGUAAAGAGCUCGUAGGCGGUUUGUCGCGUCUGCUGUGAAAACUGGGGGCUCAACCCCCAGCCUGCAGUGGGUACGGGCAGACUAGAGUGCGGUAGGGGAGAUUGGAAUUCCUGGUGUAGCGGUGGAAUGCGCAGAUAUCAGGAGGAACACCAAUGGCGAAGGCAGAUCUCUGGGCCGUAACUGACGCUGAGGAGCGAAAGCAUGGGGAGCGAACAGGAUUAGAUACCCUGGUAGUCCAUGCCGUAAACGUUGGGAACUAGAUGUAGGGUCCAUUCCACGGAUUCUGUGUCGCAGCUAACGCAUUAAGUUCCCCGCCUGGGGAGUACGCCGC
rnacentral:rRNA from 1 species